AUUAAACGCUGGCGGCAUGCCUUACACAUGCAAGUCGAACGGCAGCACGGGGGCAACCCUGGUGGCGAGUGGCGAACGGGUGAGUAAAGCAUCGGAACGUGCCCUGGAGUGGGGGAUAACGUAGCGAAAGUUACGCUAAUACCGCAUAUUCUGUGAGCAGGAAAGCAGGGGAUCGCAAGACCUUGCGCUCUGGGAGCGGCCGAUGUCGGAUUAGCUAGUUGGUGGGGUAAAGGCCUACCAAGGCGACGAUCCGUAGCGGGUCUGAGAGGAUGAUCCGCCACACUGGGACUGAGACACGGCCCAGACUCCUACGGGAGGCAGCAGUGGGGAAUUUUGGACAAUGGGCGAAAGCCUGAUCCAGCCAUGCCGCGUGAGUGAAGAAGGCCUUC
rnacentral:rRNA from 1 species